rnacentral:rRNA from 1 species
GAUCUGGCUCAGGAUGAACGCUGGCGGCGUGCUUAACACAUGCAAGUCGAACGGGAAACCUUUUAUUGAAGCUUCGGCAGAUUUAGCCGGUUUCUAGUGGCGGACGGGUGAGUAACGCGUGGGUAACCUGCCCUAUACAGGGGGAUAACAACCAGAAAUGGUUGCUAAUACCGCAUAAGCGCACAGGACCGCAUGGUCUGGUGUGAAAAACUCCGGUGGUAUAGGAUGGACCCGCGUUGGAUUAGCCAGUUGGCAGGG